GACGAACGCUGGCGGCAGGCCUAACACAUGCAAGUCGAACGAGUGGCGGACGGGUGAGUAAUGUCUGGGAAACUGCCCGAUGGAGGGGGAUAACUACUGGAAACGGUAGCUAAUACCGCAUACCAUCGGAUGUGCCCAGAUGGGAUUGGAUAGUAGGUGGGGUAACGGCACACCGAGGCGGCGAUCCCUAGCUGGUCUGAGAGGAUGACCGGCCACACUGGAGCUGAGACCCGGUCCAGACUCCUACGGGAGGCAGCAGUGGGGAAUGUGAGACAACGGGGGCAAGCCUGAUGCAGUCAUGCCGCGUGUAUGAAGAAGGCCUUCGGGUUGUAAAGUACUUUCAGCGAGUAGGCGUUACUCGCAGAAGAAGCACCGGCUAACUCCGUGCCAGCAGCCGCGGUAAUUC
rnacentral:rRNA from 1 species